AAACUUGAGAGUUUGAUCAUGGCUCAGAACGUACGCUGGCGGCACGCCUAACACAUGCAAGUCGAACGAAGUAGCAAUACUUAGUGGCAGACGGGUGAGUAACAUGUGGGUAUCUGCCCUUUGGCCUGGAAUAACACGAGGAAACUUGUGCUAAUACCGGAUAAGUCUUUACGGAGAAAGCUUUAUGCACCAUUGGAUGAGCCCGCACUUGAUUAGUUUGUUGGUAGGGUAAUGGCCUACCAAGACUGUGAUCAAUAGCUGAUUUGAGAGGAUGAUCAGCCACAUUGGGACUGAGACACGGCCCAAACUCCUACGGGAGGCAGCAGUGGGGAAUCUUGCACAAUGGAGGAAACUCUGAUGCAGCGAUGCCGCGUGAGUGAAGAAGGCCCUUGGGUUGUAAAGCUCUUUCGUCGGGGAAGAAAAUGACUGUACCCGAAUAAGAAGGUCCGGCUAACUUCGUGCCAGCAGCCGCGGUAAUACGAAGGGACCUAGCGUAGUUCGGAAUUACUGGGCUUAAAGAGUUCGUAGGUGGUUGAAAAAGUUGGUGGUGAAAUCCCAGAGCUUAACUCUGGAACUGCCAUCAAAACUUUUCAGCUAGAGUUUGAUAGAGGAAAGCAGAAUUUCUAGUGUAGAGGUGAAAUUCGUAGAUAUUAGAAAGAAUACCAAUUGCGAAGGCAGCUUUCUGGAUCAUUACUGACACUGAGGAACGAAAGCAUGGGUAGCGAAGAGGAUUAGAUACCCUCGUAGUCCAUGCCGUAAACGAUGUGUGUUAGACGUUGGAAAUUUAUUUUCAGUGUCGCAGCGAAAGCGAUAAACACACCGCCUGGGGAGUACGACCGCAAGGUUAAAACUCAAAUGAAUUGACGGGGACCCGCACAAGUAGUGGAGCAUGUGGUUUAAUUCGAAGAUACGCGCAGAACCUUACCAACACUUGACAUGUUCGUCGCGACUUUAAGAGAUUAAAGUUUUCGGUUCGGCCGGACGAAACACAGGUGCUGCAUGGCUGUCGUCAGCUCGUGUCGUGAGAUGUUGGGUUAAGUCCCGCAACGAGCGCAACCCUCACUUUUAGUUGCCAUCAUUAAGUUGGGCACUCUGAAAGAACUGCCAGUGAUAAGCUGGAGGAAGGUGGGGAUGACGUCAAGUCCUCAUGGCCCUUACGUGUUGGGCUACACACGUGCUACAAUGGUAUCUACAACAGGAAGCAAAACAGCGAUGUUAAGCAAAUCCUUAAAAGAUACCUCAGUUCGGAUUGCACUCUGCAACUCGAGUGCAUGAAGCUGGAAUUACUAGUAAUCGUGGAUCAGCGUGCCACGGUGAAUGCGUUCCCGGGUCUUGUACACACCGCCCGUCACACCAUGGGAGUUGGUUCUACCUUAAGGCAAGGUUUAAUACCCUUGACCACGGUAUAGUCAGCGACUGGGGUGAAGUCGUAACAAGGUAGCCGUAGGGGAACCUGCGGCUGGAUUACCUCCUUU
rnacentral:rRNA from 1 species